CUACGGGACGCAGCAGUGAGGAAUAUUGCGCAAUGGGGGAAACCCUGACGCAGCGACGCCGCGUGGAUGAUGAAGGCCUUAGGGUCGUAAAAUCCUGUCAGGUGGGAAGAAGUGGAUAUAGAUUAAUACUCUAUUUCUUUGACGGUACCACCAAAGGAAGCACCGGCUAACUCCGUGCCAGCAGCCGCGGUAAUACGGAGGGUGCAAACGUUGUUCGGAAUUACUGGGCGUAAAGCGCGCGUAGGCGGGUUGUUAAGUCAGAUGUGAAAGUCCAUGGCUCAAUUAUGGAAGUGCAUUUGAAACUGGCAGACUUGAGUACUGGAGGGGGUGAUGGAAUUCCCGGUGUAGAGGUGAAAUUCGUAGAUAUCGGGAGGAAUACCGGUGGCGAAGGCGAUCACCUGGCCAGAUACUGACGCUGAGGUGCGAAAGCGUGGGGAGCAAACAGGAUUAGAUACCCCAGUAGUC
rnacentral:rRNA from 1 species